AACGAACGCUGGCGGCAGGCUUAACACAUGCAAGUCGAACGCCCCGCACCUGCAGUUGCAGACUGCUGGGUAACCCGUGGGAACAUACCCUUUUCUACGGCAUAGCUCUGGGAAACGGGAAACUAUACCGAAUACGGCCUACGGGGGAAGGAUGGCUCGGGGAGGGUUUGGGGCGCGGGGGAUUAGCGAGGUGGUGGGGUAAAGGCCUAGCAAGGCUACGAUCCGGAGCUGGUCUGAGAGGAUGAUCAGCCACAGUGGGGAUGCGACACGGCCCAAACUCCUACGGGAGGGAGGAGUGGAGAAUAUUGGAGGAGGGGCGCAAGCCUGGUACAGCCGUGCGGGGUGAGUGAUGAAGGCGUUAGGGUUGCAAAGCUCUUUCACCGAUGAAGAUAAUGACGGUAGUGGGAGAAGAAGCCCCGGCUAACUUCGUG
rnacentral:rRNA from 1 species